CUACGUGCCAGCAGCCGCGGUAAUACGGAAGGUCCAGGCGUUAUCCGGAUUUAUUGGGUUUAAAGGGAGCGUAGGCCGUGGAUUAAGCGUGUUGUGAAAUGUAGACGCUCAACGUCUGAAUUGCAGCGCGAACUGGUUCACUUGAGUAUGCACAACGUAGGCGGAAUUCGUCGUGUAGCGGUGAAAUGCUUAGAUAUGACGAAGAACUCCGAUUACGAAGGCAGCUUACGGGAGCACAACUGACGCUGAAGCUCGAAGGUGCGGGUAUCAAACAGGAUUAGAUACCCUGGUAGUCCGCACAGUAAACGAUGGAUGCCCGCUGUUAGCGCCUGGCGUUAGCGGCUAAGCGAAAGCAUUAAGCAUCCCACCUGGGGAGUACGCCGGCAACGGUGAAACUCAAAGGAAUUGACGGGGGCCCGCACAAGCGGAGGAACAUGUGGUUUAAUUCGAUGAUACGCGAGGAACCUUACCCGGGCUUGAACUAACGGUGACGAAUCUAGAGAUAG
rnacentral:rRNA from 1 species